UGGGAAGUCAGUCAAAUUACCUCAGUACUUUAGGGAGCAAACUGCAAAAUACCUUCUUAGAACUCAAUUUUUAUUAAUGCUGAUGGUUCAUUUUUUAAGAAUUAAUCAUUCCAAGUUUCAAGAUUCUAUUUCAGCAUAAAGUUCACUUUAUUCUGCAUGUGGAUUUCCGCACUCUCUGCCCAAAUAAAUUAAUACGUAUUCCAAAGUCUCAGGCCACGAUCAAUGAAAAACCACAGCAAAUUCCUAAGCAGUAAUAGAUAUUCCACAUGGCUUGAGACAGUUGAAGGAGCAUUUUUUAAGGUUAAGAAUCAAAGUACUGUAAUCGAAGAUCUUAAAAAUGAAGCAGCAUGGGCUUCUCAAGGUACCUCCGUUGACUUCUGGGAUCAUCUAAGCCAGAAAAAAACCCUACUGAGAGAAAGCUACACCUACUACAGAGAGCUCCCCCAACCUUUCCAAAAACAUUAAGAGCCAUUCAAAACCAAAGGAAAUGCCAAGACACAAGGAAAAGUUCUCUUGAUGCAAAUGAAGCUACUGGAAUUUGGAGGAACUGAAUAAACAAAACAAUUAAGCCAUUAGCAUGCCUCCUGAGACUCGGCCUCCUGCCCGAGGGAGGCCACCACCAGAUCCCAUUUGCGCAGCUUCUGCUUUUACCUUUUCUUCAACAAAACAUAGCAACUUUAGAAUCAGACUGAGUAGAAUUAGACUGGAGCUCAAAUUCCUCAUGUCUUGGUAAGACAGCAGUGGACGUAUCAAGAGCCAGAGUGCCUUCUCUGCCAUGUACAGGAGUUCCAAAGAUCAGCCGGGGUAACAGGAGCUACCACUGAAUUUAUUCCUGCCUCAAUGUAUUCAUUCAAUUAAGGAAAGAUGAAAAGAGAAAAGGCUGAAAUGGGGGAACUAUGUAGUCCCUUCCCACACUGACUCUGGACUUAGCCAUGUGACUUGCUUUGGCCAAUGGGGGCAACUACAAGCAUGAUGCAAACAAAGUCUUAAAAAAAAUGCUUUUGUAUUGGAGUUUGCACUCUUGUCGUUCUUGGUGAUCCUGUGGUGUGACCACUACUAUGUAAACAAGCCAAGACCAGCCUGUUGUGACAAGAGAGACAUGGCCAAGUCAUCUCCAUUGCUCCAGCUGGAAGUGGGCCAACUACCAAACAUGUGAGUGAAGCCAUCCUGGAUCAGGCAUUUCCAGCCAAGCCACUGGCUGACCACAGAGCUCAGAUGAGCCAGCCUGGAUGAGAACUGGCCAGCCAAUACACAAAAUCAUGAGAAAUGAUAAAUCUUUAUGAUUUAUUUAAGCCCCUAGGUUCAGGAUGUUCUGUUAUACAAAAAGCUAACACAUAUAACAGAUUAAGAAAGGGCGACUAAGAGAUGCUAAGAUAUAUUAAAAAUCCCAGGAUACAUCCCCUAAUGAACUUUUAUACAACACUUAAUGGAACUUACUAUGGAUUCAAUCUCAUGUCAACUAUCGUUAAAAUAAGUUGACAUAGAUCCAAAAUUGAACAUUCACCCUAAUAUUCAUCUUAAAAAAAUAAUAUUUGGUACAACUUACAGAAUGAUAUUGUAUGGGCUUCAGGGGUUUAUGAACCUCUGAAAUUAUAUAAAGAAUUGCAUAUAAUUAUAUGCAUUCUUAUAAAUUGGAAAAAUGUUAAAAUUAUAAAGAAUAAUAAAAAAAUUUCUAUGUAAACACUGCUUAGAAUUUAUGAUACUAUUUUAUCAUAUUUACUUUGGAUUUAUUUUUUAUAUAUAAAACAAAUAAAACAUCAGCGACCCCCAUGUGAGCCUUGAAGGCAUGGGAAAAAUGUAUGGUUUCCCAGA